UACAGAGGGUGCGAGCGUUAAUCGGAGUUACUGGGCGUAAAGGGCGCGUAGGCGGUUAGAUAAGAUUGAUGUGAAAUCCCUGGGCUUAACCUAGGAACUGCAUCGAUGACUGUAUAGCUAGAGUAUUGUAGAGGGUAGUGGAAUUUCCGGUGUAGCGGUGAAAUGCGUAGAGAUCGGAAGGAACACCAGUGGCGAAGGCGGCUACCUGGACAAAUACUGACGCUGAGGCGCGAGAGCGUGGGGAGCAAACAGG
rnacentral:rRNA from 1 species